UGGGGAAUUUUGGACAAUGGGCGAAAGCCUGAUCCAGCAAUGCCGCGUGUGUGAAGAAGGCCUUCGGGUUGUGAAGCACUUUUGUCCGGAAAGAAAUCCUUGGCUCUAAUACAGUCGGGGGAUGACGGUACCGGAAGAAUAAGCAUCGGCUAACUACGUGCCAGCAGCCGCGGUAAUACGUAGGGUGCAAGCGUUAAUCGGAAUUACUGGGCGUAAAGCGUGCGCAGGCGGUUUGCUAAGACCGAUGUGAAAUCCCCGGGCUCAACCUGGGAACUGCAUUGGUGACUGGCAGGCUAGAGUGUGGCAGAGGGGGGUAGAAUUCCACGUGUAGCAGUGAAAUGCGUAGAGAUGUGGAGGAAUACCGAUGGCGAAGGCAGCCCCCUGGGCCAAUACUGACGCUCAUGCACGAAAGCGUGGGGAGCAAACAGGAUUAGAUACCCUGGUAGUCCACGCCCUAAACGAUGUCAACUAGUUGUUGGGGAUUCAUUUCCUUAGUAACGUAGCUAACGCGUGAAGUUGACCGCCUGGGGAGUACGGUCGCAAGAUUAAAACUCAAAUGAAUUGACGGGGUCAUAGCUGUUUCCU
rnacentral:rRNA from 1 species